rnacentral:rRNA from 1 species
UGGGGAAUUUUGGACAAUGGGCGAAAGCCUGAUCCAGCAAUGCCGCGUGCAGGAUGAAGGCCUUCGGGUUGUAAACUGCUUUUGUACGGAACGAAAAAGCUUCUCCUAAUACGAGAGGCCCAUGACGGUACCGUAAGAAUAAGCACCGGCUAACUACGUGCCAGCAGCCGCGGUAAUACGUAGGGUGCGAGCGUUAAUCGGAAUUACUGGGCGUAAAGCGUGCGCAGGCGGUUAUGUAAGACAGAAUGUGAAAUCCCCGGGCUCAACCUGGGAACUGCAUUUGUGACUGCAUGGCUAGAGUACGGUAGAGGGGGAUGGAAUUCCGCGUGUAGCAGUGAAAUGCGUAGAUAUGCGGAGGAACACCGAUGGCGAAGGCAAUCCCCUGGACCUGUACUGACGCUCAUGCACGAAAGCGUGGGGAGCAAACAGGAUUAGAUACCCUGGUAGUCCACGCCCUAAACGAUGUCAACUGGUUGUUGGGAAUUAGUUUUCUCAGUAACGAAGCUAACGCGUGAAGUUGACCGCCUGGGGAGUACGGCCGCAAGGUUG